GAUGAACGCUGGCGGCGUGCCUAAUACAUGCAAGUCGAACGCGCAGCGAAAGGUGCUUGCACCUUUCAAGCGAGUGGCGAACGGGUGAGUAGCACGUGGAUAACCUGCCUCAAGGCUGGGGAUAACAUUUGGAAACAGAUGCUAAUACCGAAUAAAACUUAGUAUCGCAUGAUACAAAGUUAAAAGGCGCUACGGCGUCACCUAGAGAUGGAUCCGCGGUGCAUUAGUUAGUUGGUGGGGUAAAGGCUUACCAAGACGAUGAUGCAUAGCCGAGUUGAGGGACUGAUCGGCCACAUUGGGACUGAGACACGGCCCAAACUCCUACGGGAGGCUGCAGUAGGGAAUCUUCCACAAUGGGCGCAAGCCUGAUGGAGCAACGCCGCGUGUGUGAUGAAGGCUUUCGGGUCAUAAAGCACUGUUGUAUGGGAAGAAAUGCUAAAAUAGGGAAUGAUUUUAGUUUGACGGUACCAUACCAGAAAGGGACGGCUAAAUACGUGCCAGCAGCCGCCGUAA
rnacentral:rRNA from 1 species